AACCUCCGCAAUGUACGAAAGUGCGACGGGGGGAUCCCAAGUGUUAUGCUUAAAGGUAUGACUUUUCAUUAGUGUAAAAAGCUUUUAGAAUAAGAGCUGGGCAAGACCGGUGCCAGCCGCCGCGGUAACACCGGCAGCUCGAGUGGUAGCUGUUUUUAUUGGGCCUAAAGCGUUCGUAGCCGGUUUAAUAAGUCUUUGGUGAAAGCUUGUAGCUUAACUAUAAGAAUUGCUGGAGAUACUAUUAGACUUGAAGUCGGGAGAGGUUAGAGGUACUACCGGGGUAGGGGUGAAAUCCUAUAAUCCUGGGAGGACCACCUGUGGCGAAGGCGUCUAACUGGAACGAUCUUGACGGUGAGUAACGAAAGCCAGGGGCGCGAACCGGAUUAGAUACCCGGGUAGUCCUGGCCGUAAACGAUGUGGACUUGGUGUUGGAAUGGCUUUGAGUUGUUCCGGUGCCGAGGAAGCUGUAAGUCCACCGCCUGGAAGUCGGUCGCAAGAUUGAAACUUAAAGGAAUU
rnacentral:rRNA from 1 species